rnacentral:ncRNA from 1 species
CAACCCGUGCAGUGAUGUAUGGUUGAACUAUCAAAAGUCAGCAGAGGUCAUAGUGUGUGCGUGGCAGCGCAGCUGCCAGGC